UUCCCUCUAUUUCAGCAACCUCUCCCGCUCUGAAGGGGAAAGUGAGUAUUGAGCAGUACUCAAGAUGGGACAGCACAAGUGAUUUGAAUAGUACAACCAUUGUGAUGGGAUCCCUGGAUUUGAAGGCAAUAAUGGUAAUAAUCCUUAGCAGUCAACAUCUUGGUGAUGUGAUUGGCGCUAAUCUUACAAUCUGCAAGUUUAACUCCCUUUUGUUUUAGAGCAAACUGGUGCUGCCACUACUGGUGUCAUCCACUGCUAAGCACCCAAAAUGUCGGAUGACAUGCACAUGGGUCGGAGCGAUUUCAUGGGAUCAGAUGGACGGAGGGGUAUCUGCGACUUCUUGAACAGCGUGAGCAUAAGUAAUCUGGAACAUCUGGGCCACAGAAGACCCAACCCCGAAAGUUUUGAUUAUGCUCGUGGGUUUAACAGGACCCCACAUCUCCCAGGAAUGGGUAUUAUUGUUCAAGGGCAGCCAGCUCCUCAAUUUUCUGGAGCACCAGUUGUAUGUAGGCCAUCUAUUCCUGAUGUGUCCCAUGGACCUCCCAUACCUCGUCUACCAAUUCCUGGCCAAAUAUUACAUCCUCCUCCUCUUGCACAUCCCCCUAUACUACCCUCACCUCAUCCACACCCACAUAUGCCUACUUCUGGUCCUCACCCUCAUAUACCCAACUUACACAUGCCACCUAGUAACCACAUGCCCCCAAGUAACCAUAUGCCACCAAGUAACCACAUGGCACCCAGUAACCACAUGCCACCAAGCAACCACAUGGUGCCAAGUAACCACAUGGCACCAAGUAACCAUAUGCAGCCAAAUAACCACAUGCUGCAUAGUAACCACAUGCUGCAAAGUAACCACAUUCUGCCAAAUAACCAUAUGCCGCCGAGUAACCAUAUGCCGCCAAGUAACCACAUGCCGCCAAAUAACUCAUAUUUAGUCCCACCUCGUGCUGAUGUUAAACUUCGUCCUCAACCUCAUGGUACACAAAAUAUAGAAGCCACAAUGCAUCCUCCAUUACCCCCAGGCCCAAGACCAGCACAACCUAGACUCUGUCAACCUCCACCGCUCCCUGGCACUCAAAGAGCACAACCGCCGCCUCUUCCUUCCAGUAGUUUUACAAUACCUGUACAACCACCACUUCCUCCUCUACCUCCUCUGCCACCUUCUCCUAAGGUUGAAGCUUCAAAGCCGCCACCUCCAAAUGACCCACCACCAUCCAGCCCUGUCAAGAAGUUCUCUUUGCCCUCACCGUCUUCAAAAGUUGAGUCAUUUACCAAGUCGUCAGAUUCAACAAGACUAGGAGCUUUAAGCUCCUCAAAGCAGUCAGGAAACAAGAGAUUUUUUUCUGAUACUCAAGAUACAGAAGCUAAACCCAUCCCAAGUAUUGUUUCAUCUCGUCUUUCUAUGAAACCUGCCGUCCCAUCUGCCAAUAAUUGUAAUUCUAGGAUCCCUUGUGCUGCAGUGAUUGCUAGUGUUGCCUCAUAUAGCAAUGUUCAAGCCUCCACCCCUCCCCCACCUCCACUACCACCCACAGAUAAUAUUCAUUAUCCUGCCUCUCCUGUGUGUCCAGCAACCUCCUUGGAGGAAGAACCAUAUGACCCAGAAGAUGCUACAUUUUCUCCAGCCUCAAGUUAUGGUUCUCCUCCAAGGGAAGAAAGCCCAGAAGAUUCUCUUAUCAACAAGUAUGUGAGACAACCAAGUAAACUAAAUUCUUCAGACCAUUUUUCUAGUUCACUGAAAACACCAGAAAGAAUCAGAAAUGAUAAAAAGAAGAAAGUUUCAUUCUCCAAAGAAGUGUCAUUUUCUGCAAAACUUAAUAAAUCUCAGUCUGACUCUCCCUCUAGACCAAAUUUAGAUACCCGUCUAAAGAUCAUGUUUGGUGCAGUAGAAGAGGAAGCAUUAUCUAAAAAAACCAAGAAGUCUUUAACCCAGUUACUGUCACCAAAUUCUUCUUCAGAGAGAGAAGUUGAAGACCAAGAGAGACCCCUAUCUCCUACCCCAUCUCCCUACUUAUCUAGACAUAUGUAUCUCUAUUGGCACAAGGAGACCAUCAAGGCAAGAAAAGCAUCCAAAUUGUCUAGUGUUGAUUUUGUAAAUUCUAAUACAAGCUCCCAAAGUACUAAGACACAAUUGAAUGGACAAGUUUUAAUGUCAGUUGCCCCACUGAAAGGAAUGCCUCCACUUCCUAAAAACCUUCCCACUGUUCCUCCUCCGAACUACAAGAGCGCUGUAAUAGAACCUUUAUCGAUAAAAGAGGGUAGUUUGAAAGCCGAGUUAAUCUUGAAAAGUUUUAAUCGCAUGCAUCCAUAUAAAAUUAAUGAUUCGAAGAGCAGCAAUGUUGUGAAAAGUUCACUGGAUUCUGAGUUAGAACUGACAAGUGAAGCUAUGCCCAUGGAGACAUGUGAUGAAAAAUUACCAGACAUGUUUGAGCAUGAAAGUUCCAGUGGUCAUGAAAAUGUAACGGUUAAUCUUGUAAUGGCAAAAAUUAUUGAAGAACUAAAGCUUGUUAUUCGAGAAGAGCUUACAAAAGAAAUCUUCGAGAAAAGGGUUAAAAUGUGCCUUGACAAGGAUAAAAAAAUUUAGGGUAAGAAUAGAGUUCCCACAUUAGUACAAACCAUUACAGAAAAGAAUCUGCUCCACAAUAUUUUAUAUAUAGUUUAGCUACAAUAUUCCUUAUUUCAUGCUGAAACUUUGUUUUUGAUGAUUCAUAAAUUUUAUGCAAUAUACUCAGAAUUAAUGUAGAUAUCAGACUAAAAUGUAUUGUGUUAGUAAAUAAAAUGAGUCAAAAGCUUGCAGUGUUAAAUCACUUUCGGUUUUUGUUGUGACAGUUGCGCCCUCAAAAACUUUAAAUGGUUUUCAAAUUUUUCGCUAUACUUUCAGGUAAUAGUUUUACUUCUCAGUGGGUAAGGUUGCUCUGUUAAUUGAUGGAAAUUUCUUCAACGUAUUUUUCAUCCCAUCUUCUCAACAACACUGUAAGUUUGGUUAUGCCAAUAUCAGUAUUGAUAGCAACUAAUGUUUGGUAUUUUGGAGCAGUUAGUUAAGGUUGUAUGGUGCAUUGUGUUGACUAAGAUAUGUAGAGACAUAAUAGGAGCAGAGUGAGAGUACAGUAGUGUGUUACAUUUCAUGUACAGUACACUAAAUACCAAAAUAAAUUUGGCCAACACGUAUGAUUAAGUAGCAGGUGCAUUACAAGCCAUGAUCUGUUAAGCUGCUUAUAAAUUGAAAAUUGAUACUUAUUUUUUGUCAUUAAAAAGUUUGAUAAUUACCGUAACUAUGUGCAUACAGGUAUUUUCAAUUUGUUCCCUGGAUAUAGCUUUUAGCAUUAUCAGAUUUGACAUUUAUCUUGGAUAAUUUUCAUAAAUUCAUAAAUUCCACUUGGAAUUUUAAUUUUUAUAAUUUUUUGAGUAUCAGUCAAUCGGGUUAGUCUACUUACAAACGAAUAGCAAAGAUUCAUUUGCUGAUGUAAAUCCAAUGAAAGCUGCAUUUAUACAUGUUUCACUAUUCCUAAAUUUGACUCUGAUCACAAUGCUACAAGAGUUUGACUGCCAGAAAAUUCUCAUUAAAAUAAAAAUAUUUGCACGCAAGACCUGAAAAUUUAUGCACCAUAUUAUGCACUCAUAUUUGUUCCAGUUAGGAAACUUUCCACUGUAUAUAAUCCUGGGCUAAUAUUACAUUGAACAGUUACAUUGUUCACUGCUUUUAAUGUAACAAGAUUCAAUUAUUUUUUCAAAUAUUGAUUUGCAUAUGGCAAUUUUUUGAGAAUUGAUCUAGUCAGUUUGAUGAUACUGGGCUCUUUAAUGUCAAUUAGUUUUUCUUCUAUUCAGUAUAUAUCUCUCUCUCCAAAAAAAAGUUAAAUUAAACUCAGUGUUAACAUGUGAAAUUCUUUUUAAUAUUUGUUCUAGGGUUAAUAUUGGCAAGUAGUUGCAGUAUUGGGGAUGAUAAAGUGUAAAUCUCAAAAUUGUCAGUAAUGCCUUCUUCAUUAACAUAUCUGAAGCAAACCUGGAGUGGGUUGUGGGAGUUCUGGACUUGUGAUGGCUUGGUCCAACAGACUGUUGCUUGGAGCAGUUUGCAGGUUCACAUGUCCACUACAUUCAUAAUAUGACAGUGAAUCUCUGAAACAAGUUACUUGAUGAAUGAAUAUUUGAUGGGUACAUGAGGGUUGCUAAUUUUAAUUCUAGCCAAGAUUAACAUAAUUGAAUAGAAAGCAAACAGAUACAUUGUUAAUAAAUGCAUUAUUAAUUUUAUAAAUCUGUUUAAUGCACAAAAUCUGCCUUUUUAUGAGCCCAUCUUUAUUUCCUUAAGGCAACAGUCAUAUUUUAAUGCAUUAUAUUCAUGAAAAAAUCUCUGUAAUGGUCUUCAUUUUCCUACACUUUUUUUUUACAUUUUUAACUCUCCAGGUUGUUGCUUCACUAUGCUGUGGAAAACUGUUCUGAUGCUUCUAAUCUAUUCCCAGGAGCUCAAAACAGAAGACAUGGAAAUGUGAGGAAACACACCUCAGAUGCUGUAUGAAAAACCAAAGAAGCACCAGACAUUCAACUAAAACAGAUGAACAUUCAAUGUGACGGUUAUGGAAUCAGCUCUCUCUCAACACCUGCCAAUAAAGAUUGUGAUGACUAUGGAUAUGAUUUUUCCUGGCUCGACUCAUUCUCGGGAGCUACAGUGUCUGGAUAUUACUUGGUAGGAGGAUACCAGCUGGAAGGUCUGCUUGUGAGCAACAUUCUCUUGACGUCUAAUAAUUUGAUGGAAUUAAUGUGGUGCCAUCAUCAACAGUUGAAGCCAUCACACAGUACUCAUCAUGUGCAGUUACCUGAAAUGUUUUCUCUUCAGUGGAGAAGUAUUUUCAUCAAAUAUUAAGGAGACCAAAUGGAGAUACUGUAGUUAUGUUCAUCAGAUGUCGGAACCAUCAUCCCUGUGUUUGGUAUGUCCCACUAUUGUGUUUGAGACACCCAGGAGAAAGAGGACUUUACACUGCUGAUGGAGAAAGUUUGAUGUGGUAGGAUUACCCCUAUUGAAAUGGAGGAGCACUGCUUGGGAUAACGCACCCUUUGCUGCGCAGGCUCAAACACAGCCUCCUUUGCCGUUCUGGUAGGUGGUAUUCCUUGGCUGCAGAGCCCAAUCUUUACAAAUUGCAUGCAUGCUCAUGGAAAUUAAAAACUCUUCUCAAUUUCAGACUCUUGGGAUGAGCAACCAGGUCCUCAAAUCAUAUUGUUAUUGAAGAUCAGGCUCCGGCUGCAUUGGGCCCUGACCCAGCUUUGUCCUUGGCUCAUUCCCCUUGAUCCUCUCUGUAUCUUAGCUACUUCCCUGGCAGGGUACAUUAUCUGAAGUAACUCCUAUCUACAACGACUUGUGCUACGACUAACUUGGAAGCAUGAUUCUCAUCCAUCGUCGUCAUCCUGUGGAAUUUCCCUUACAUAUAAGGAUAAUGCUAAGUAAACACUUAAAGGGUCAUUUUUUUACACCUGUUUGUAUCGGUUGCCUCAUUACUCUUACCUGCCAAUUGAAUGCUCUAAGGCCCUUGCCUCACCUAAAGUCAUCCCAUACUUCCUUGGGAGCCAAUAGACAUAUGCUCUUCUCUUGUGCUGUCUAAAUUAGACUGUGGUUUCCCCACCUUUUUCUCUGCUUCUCCAACCCUUCAUCAUCUUGAUACUCUGCAUCAUACUAAGGGUUGCACCCUGGCUCAGGUGCUAUUUGUUCAUUCCCAAUUGCCUCUACUGGAUUGUAUUGACUUCGGUACUCUGUAAUGUCUUUAUAAAACCCAAAUUCCUUGUUUCAAUCUUCAACCACUGCCCCUCUCGUGUGUGUGUUUCCUCUCCCUUUUACUACAAGGAUGACCCAUUUACAUGAUAUUCUUGGUACACAUCUGCAAUAUCUCCCCCCCUCGUUCUGUACCUUCCUUUCCUCUAUGGAGGGUCCCACUUGUGAAAUUUUGCAAGGCUCUAACCUGAAUGGCUGUGGUCUUAUUACCCUCUUACUGUUAGGAAAUGCCUUUUCAUUAAACUAUUUUUUUUUUUACCUUUCAUGCUCUGUUCAUAGAUAGGUCAAAGGCUGUUGACACAAAUUUUUUACUGAUAAAACCUAUAUAUGCUGACUGCCCCAAGACUUCUCUUGGAAUCUUCAAGGCAGAGCUGUGUGAUUUUUAUAUGCAGUCAACUUUUUAUGUCAACAUUCAUUUGUUACUGUGGUUGGCUUGCAGUGCCCUUAUAGGUCUGGACUCGCUUUAACCCUUUGCAUUCUGUGGUGGUUGAUGUCCAAUACUGGCUGUUUCUCAUGUUUAGCAGAUUUAGUGUAUUUCAACUUACUUGUCUGUCCUGUAAACUGGAUUGGGUAUUUAAGUGGAACACUAGGGCAAAAUGUUGGGAAAAUUCUACAUUACAUUGAAUUACAAGUGAGUACAUUUAAGUAGCAUUACUAGUUCAGUAUAUAGUUUGUUAUUAUACUUUUAUUUUAUUUAAGUGUUCUUUUACCUUCCUACUUUUGAUCAUUAGCCAAGACAUCAACCAAGCUACAUACUGGUACAGCAAGGCUUGCCAGCCAAGUCACUACUAGAGUCUUCUUUCCCCCAAAGGCACAUGAGAGGAACACAGCCUGGAAACCAAUGGGUUUUGUGGUCGGGAAAUAGUGGACACGGACCGGGAACUGGCAACCCCGAGAACUAAUGCAUAUACAGCCCAGGAACCAUUGGACAUGCAACCCCUUGAACCUCCAAGAAUGCUUCCCAGUGCAACUCCUAAUGCAUCCUCCUGGCACAAGGAGUGUUAUAUACAGCUCCAGGGGCAAUAACAGAGAUGCCAUACAACAUGACCAGGGCUUACACACAACUAUGGACAUGUAGAGCAGACAUCACAUACUCCUGGAACAGUAUAUAUUGUCGAGAAGCACACACAUAUAUAUUGAGCAAGUAGUCCCCCAACCUGGGAAAUGAGUAAACACUUUACCUCAGGCAUGGUGAGGGAAGGUGGAAGAGGAAGGGGAAAAACCAAAGGCCAAAACGAGAACCUGUAAGUGCGCCCCACCAUAAAUGUGAGCCAGCAGCUGGAGUCUGGGAAAGAGGCAUGCAUGAUUUCCCACCAUCUGUAAAUUACACUCAGGCAUAGAGUUGAACAGGUAAUCAAGAACAACCCAACUGACAUUCCAAGUCAAAGAAAGAAACCCAAAGUACCAGAUGCAAGAAGUGUCUCGGCUAAUCAAACCCUGACAAUAAUUUCCCAGCGAGGGAAGGCAUAUAAAGCAACAAAUAAGAACCAUUCCUUACUCUAUCCAAGCAUGCAGAUGAUGAGUCACAAUAGUGUGGCUGAAACAUGAUAGCAACACCGGUAUCCCUAUCCCACUUGAGUGUUCAAGACAAAUCCCGAAUCCAUGCCAAGUACAUCCCUGUUGCAAGCUUGAUACAGACUGAGGGAAUGGGAGCUGUGUUGCUGAACCCCCAUAAAGAGUCAGAAGAGGAAAGUGCCAAAGGGGAGACCUUAAAGCUUACAGGUUCAUAAUUUGUGCUUCACAAUGCAUAUGCUUGUACAGUACCUGACCAUACAAAACAAUACAAGAUCUUCAGCCAAAUCCAUUCCAGGAAAAUGGUAACAAGCAAAUUUUAGAUGACCCAGAAGCCUCCUGAGCUCCUGCUGGAAAAGGCUUCGCGAAAUCAGUCAAACUAAUUCAAUGCCAAGUCAAGAGGAAUGUCAACUGGGAAUUGCAACCUAGCCUUAACCACUGUAAACUCUGCAAGACAAAAGAGUAGGCUUCAGUAGUUUAUUAAAAUCCUCAACUGGCUCAGUACCCGCAUGACUUUUUCUUGGCUAUCAGACAAGCACAAUAACUGAAGAGCCAUACUAACUUAAUCAUUGAGUUAUUCCAAGAACGAUAACCUAUGAAGCUAAUGCUUCCGCAGAACCACACAGGUCAGCCUUGUGAACGUCAUGGGUGCAAAGUUGAGCCUAAAAUUGACAUGUUGUGUCCAAUCUGAAACCCUAGAUGUUCCUAAAGUUUUGAAUUAACAGGAACAUGCUGAAAGGACCUGGACCCACUCAACACUGGAAUGAAGGGUGGGAAAAAUGUGCAUUGAAUCUUGACAAACUUAGAAACAAUUGGAGCUUGGGAGUGCCCAUCUUAGCCACCAGGAAUAACGGAAAUAAUCCAGAAAGGAGUGAUAACAAUGCCUUGCCCAACAUUUCAUGGAUGUUUAAUCAUUAGUGGGGAACAACGACUGUAAAAGCCAAGGACGCUUGAUAUGGGAACUAUGUCUCCAGAAGACCAUUAAAGACAACAUGGGUAGGCAACCUUGAUUCAAGCCCUACAUGCAAGUACAGUACAGACAUGCAUCCCCAAACAUUCCCCAAACUGAGACAUCGGAAAAGGGCUGACUGGCAUACAAGAAUAGAGUUGAGUCACCUUGACUUAAACGAAUGGUUCAGGAACAUUGUAAAAUUUGAAAUUGGAUGAUGCCAAAAUACAUCAUACCAAUUACUGUUCUGUCAAAUAAGGUAUGAUACUUAAACACAUCGUUUGAUUACUAUGUUGUUGCGGGGGACUGUAAAUGUUGUAACCACAUUGUUUUGAGGUUCUGAUGGUGUAAGUAUUGUUGCCUUCUAGUAAAUAGGUAGUAGAAUUAAUCAAAAUGAGUAUCCAAACACAAUGUGAAAGCAUUAGUCUAUUAAGAAAAACAAAACUGAUGAGAUUUUAAUGCUCCUCUAUUUCAAUAUGUAUGGCCAGCCACAGCCAAACCUUCGGUAGGUACUGUGUGGAUACAAAUAAUGUACAGUAUGUUGGCAAUAAUACAGUGAUGUUUGUAUACUUUUGGAUUUAUUAAUAUGCUUUUCAUGUAAUAACUAUUCAACCAUUGUAUUGCAUUCUUCUGUAUAGAGUAUUUUUUUAAUAAAUUUUUUAAUAUUA
rnacentral:misc_RNA from 1 species